GACGAACUGUCCUAACGUUGUUCGGAAUCACUGGGCUUAAAGGGCGCGUAGGCGGUCCAACAAGUCAGGGGUGAAAUCCUGCAGCUCAACUGCAGAAGUGCCUUUGAUACUGUUGGUCUUGAGGGAGAUAGGGGUGUGCGGAACUCACAGUGGAGCGGUGAAAUGCGUUGAUAUUGUGAGGAACGCCGGAGGCGAAAGCGGCGCACUGGAUCUCUUCUGACGCUGAGGCGCGAAAGCUAGGGGAGCAAACGGG
rnacentral:rRNA from 1 species